rnacentral:rRNA from 1 species
GAAUUUUGCGCAAUGGGCGAAAGCCUGACGCAGUAACGCCGCGUGGAGGAUGAAGGCUCUCGAGUCGUAAACUCCUGCCUGGGGGAAAGAUGAUGACGGUACCCCCAAAGAAAGCCCCGGCUAAUUCCGUGCCAGCAGCCGCGGUAAUACGGAAGGGGCAAGCGUUGUUCGGAAUUAUUGGGCGUAAAGGGCGCGCAGGCGGUCUCAUAUGUCUGCUGUGAAAUCACACGGCUCAACCGUGUUCAGCCGCAGAAACUGUGAGACUUGAGGCUGGGAGGGGCUGGUGGAAUUCCCCGUGUAGCGGUGAAAUGCGUAGAGAUGGGGGAGAACACUCGUGGCGAAGGCGGCCAGCUGGACCAGUUCUGACGCUGAGGCGCGAAAGCGUGGGGAGCAAACAGG